UCCGGUGUCGGGGCUCGGUCUGGAGCGCGAAUGAAGAAAGAGAGAAGAGACAGCGUAGAGUCUACGGGGAAAGGCCGUCCAGAGCUGUUGGUCUCGAUACUGCUUCCCGCUCUGACUUGGAGGAGAGGUCUCGAGAUGCCAAGAUUCUGCAUUCAAACUAUGAGGAUGAAAAACAAGCUCGCUGCACUCAGUGAUUUCCUCUGCCUUCAAGUUCACCAUGCAACAUUAGGAAAAAGCCAGGGACCUUCCUGGUACCACUGCCUUCUUUGAAGAAGGGUUCAGAAGUGUGGGCCAGAUUUUCACACUGCUUACAGGAAGCUCAUGACUGCCAUAGGAAAAGAGACUAAAUACAUAAAUAAAUGAAUGGAGAGCACAGGGUCUGGUGACACAGAUUCCCCUGGGGACAAAGGAAAGACAGUUACCGUUCUCUCUCAGUCCACUGAGAACGUGUAAAAGAACCAGCAAAGUGUCAUGUCCUCUGCUAUCCCCUUGUGUAGACCGGACCAGAGCAGUGUCGAAAGGAAGAAUAUGCUACGUAAUCUUUUUAAGUGCUAGGCUACAAUGCCGCAGCAAGCUGUGACUGGUUUCUCUUACAGCAAAACCAACAGGGGAAUGAAGGUAUCUGAAUAAGAGAUCCCUUCUAAAAAUACCGAUCCUCUUGUACGGCUGGAUUGACAUCACUACCGGGAAUUAAGAUAAUUAAUUUGAGGGGGGGAAAAAAAAAACACUUGAAAUUGUGCCCAGCUGCUCUUAAGAUAUCUGCAAUCCUUGUUUAUUUCUUUGUUUUAUAUCCUUUUGAUCUCUAGCUUAGAAAAAUAACAGAAAGGAGUCAUACAAUAAUGCUUUGUAGCCUAUGGCAUAUUCCAUUUCAGGAUCCUAACAAAAGGUCGGUAGGCAUAUAAGAAUAGUUUCAGUGUAAGUUUAGUUCAGUCUGGAAGAGCUUUUCAGUUCCCUAUGGGAAAAUAGAGCAAAUUAGUUCGAGAAAGAGUAACAAAACAAAGAGUGCUUGAGGGACCUAGGAAGGCAGGCAGCAAGAUCCUUCAGUUAGCCAGUCUGGCAAUUAACUCAUCACAAAAAAAGACUUCUGCGGCUUUCCCGGUGACUAACAGACCCUGCCAGCGAGGUCUCUUAAGCUGCAGGGUAUGGCAGCCUCUCCUGGUGCAUGCGUUCCACCCCUGGUGAAGGACUCUGCAUUUCCCUUUGUUGAACUUGAGGAGAUUUUGAUGGCCCAUUCCUGCAGCCUGCCCAGGACUCUAGAAACAGACCUACAGUUAUAAGCCAGGCCUAAGAAACUGACAGACUUUCUUCUUCUAGAUAGAAUAAGGCUAAGAAAGUUGAUGGAAGUGUGUAUGGGAUGGUGUUGAGAAGCAUCUUCCUGACUGCUCUAGACUGCAAUAAACAAGAGAGAAACAUGUAAUGCUGCUGAAGGACGGUGAAGAGAGGAAGAUCAGCUACCAAGCCAUAUGAUGAAUCCAUUUAAGAAAAACUUGGGGGUCUGAGAAGAACUUGUGGGUUCUGGUAGACAAGAAGCUGCACAUGAGCCAGCAGUGUGCGCCUGC